UGGGAAAGGAGCAGGAAAAUCCCAAAUCCCUGGGUUGGGAAGAGGAAAAAGUGGGAAGGGAGCAGGAAAACCCCAAAUCCCGGGAAUUGCGGGAGCGGCUCCGGAACGUUCCGCGCUCGUCCCGCAGAGCUGAGCUGCUCCCGGAACGAGCAGGAGCUGCAGGAGCUGCUCCUCGAGGCCAGCCAGGACACGGCUCCGGAGCCGCUGUGACCGCAGGUCCUGGAGGGGGAAACUCCGGAGCUUUCCCCUCUUCCCACUCCGCACAAGAUUCCAACCAAACCUCGGGAAUUUCGGGACUUUUUCUUGGGAAAAGAAAAACACGAAACACACAAAACAAAAAAAAAA